rnacentral:rRNA from 1 species
UACGGAGGGUGCAAGCGUUAUCCGGAUUCACUGGGUUUAAAGGGUGCGUAGGAGGGCAGGUAAGUCAGUGGUGAAAUCCCCGAGCUUAACUUGGGAACUGCCGUUGAUACUAUCUGUCUUGAAUGUUGUGGAGGUAAGCGGAAUAUGUCAUGUAGCGGUGAAAUGCUUAGAUAUGACAUAGAACACCAAUUGCGAAAGGCAGCUUGCUACACAAUUAUUGACUCUGAUGCACGAAAGCGUGGGGAUCAAACAGG